rnacentral:rRNA from 1 species
CCUACGGGAGGCAGCAGUGAGGAAUAUUGGUCAAUGGCCGCAAGCCUGAACCAGCCAAGUCGCGUGAAGGAUGAAGGCCCUAUGGUUUGUAAACUUCUUUUAUAGGGGAAUAAAGUUAUCCACGUGUGCAUUUUUGCAUGUACUCUAUGAAUAAGGAUCGGCUAACUCCGUGCCAGCAGCCGCGGUAAUACGGAGGAUGCGAGCGUUAUCCGGAUUUAUUGGGUUUAAAGGGGGCGUAGGUGGGUUUUUAAGUCAGUGGUGAAAGUUUGCGGCGCAACCAUAAAAUUGCCAUUGAAACUGGAAGACUUGAGUUAAGUUGAGGUAGGCGGAAGUCGUGGUGUAGCGGUGAAAUGCAUAGAUAUCACGAAGAACUCCGAUUGCGAAGGCAGCUUACUAAGCCGUAACUGACACUGAAGCACGAAAGCGUGGGGAUCAAACAGGAUUAGAUACCCGGGUAGUC